rnacentral:lncRNA from 1 species
UAAUUAUUCAGCAGUCUAUUCUGAGAGCUGCCCGAGGGGGUACCACGGGAGGGUUACCCCACCCAUCUCUCAUUUGUGCUUUAUGUUCUAAGUUUGGGGUCAAAUGGAAGUCGGAUGAAAUGAUUCAGCCCCCAAUGCCAGUUUUGGACCACAAAAUGAUAAUCAGAUAUCGGGUGUGGACUAGUGGAGCAAAUCACCCACAUGGAUUGGGCUUUAUAAUUCCUCAAGCCGCUGCUCCACUUAGUCCACCAGCUCCUGCUCCACCUAGUUAUGGUUCCUCCUCUGCUGCUAAAUGUGGUGUUGUUCCCGAUGCGGUUCAGCGAGAAAUAGACGGUUGGUUCUACAAUAUUGAAUCCCAGAAUGUUCGCUUGUCUAAACGUCAAGAUGUGAUCUACAAGUUUUUAGUCGACUACUUCAACGCCCAGACUGUUAUGUAUGCUCAGCUGUACCCUGGAGGUAAUCUUGCAUUUAGGAUGUCACAUAAUUCCAGCUGUUUAAUAGUUUAAGUAUAUUCGGGGCCAAUGAUGAAACUAAAAUUGCAUAAACAAGUCUAGUAAGGAUUAUUAAGCUUGUGAUGUGCUUUCUUGACAUGAUUUAAAUCUUUAUCUGUUUAAAACUGAUAUUAUCAUGAUAGCACAUGUUAAGAAAUGAUCAUGUUGGCUGAGUAAGUUUAAAUUGAUAGAUAAUAGAUUUCUAAAGGAUAAAUGCUAGUUGAAUGAAAGAAUAACAUGAAUAGCUAGUGAUGGCUGAAGUUUGACAUGAAUUUAAGUUUGGGGGAAAAUAUUUGGAGUAUAUAAGCUUUGAAAAAAAAAGUGGCUAGUUUUGUUUCGGGGCCUUUGUUACUUGAGCAAGUAAGCCCGAGGGAGUGUCUCUACACCUAGCGCCCUAAGGUAUUAUAUGGUCUGGGAGUCGUUGGUCGAAAGGUCGCUAAGGGGUAGCAUUGUUAGCCUAAUGGAAUGAGGUAUUGCACAGUCAUGAAAAUAUAUAUAUAUAUAUAUAUAAUGAAUAAAAUGGGAAAAAGUGCAAAAAGCCCUUGUUAGAAAAGAUAAAUGAAAAUAAAGCAUAAGUAUUCCAUUUUGAUCCCUGGACUUUGGUAAUUGUUUGAUUUUAGCCGAAUCUAGUUUAUUUGAGGAGUUCUCGAGUUUACAUUGUAUGAUGCCUUCUAAGAAAUCUAUUAUGUUUCGUAUUUUUCUUUUCAUCAGUUAGCAUGGUUGUUGAACACACACACACGAUAUCAUUAAUAACAGGUUUAGAUUUGAUGAUUGUUGGGAUAAUAUUGAUCUAUCUUGAUAUGAUGUACUAGCAUGUUAUUGUGAUUUUUCUGAGGCCUGAUGAGUAUACUGUGUUCUGUUUGAUUGCUGGAAUUACAAACAUGUAGAUAGUUAUAUGUGCAUUUGCAUGGUAUAUUUAGUUUUUCUUGUUGCAUUAUGUUUUCUUGCUUGAGGAUAAUCAACGAUUUAAGUUUGGGGGUAUUUGAUGAAUGGGUAAUAUACCCAUGAAUUGGAUACACUUGGGUUUAAAUUAUUGUAUUCUCAAGUCUUUUAGAAGAAUUUUUACUGUGUUUUUUAUUAUUUUGCAGAUUGAGGAGAUGCAGGGACAAAUUGGGGAUUUGAGCUAUUUAACGGCAAAAUCAUAAUUUAACUGAAUAGUAGCGCUGGGGCGCUCUAACUGGAGUAAUGCUCAGCGUCGGGGCGUUGAGGCUUGACUGGGUGUGGCUAGGGCGCGUGCAUAGGGAAGAGUUUGACUUGGAUUAGGAUUAUGGACAGAUGGAAAAGAGUAUUUAAAGAAACAAUCAGCUGAAAGUAAGGGGGAUGUUCAAGCAUAGCUGAAGAUUAAUCAAGGAUUAGCAGGAGAUUGUGGAGAAGAAUUCCAAUUGAAGAUUGAAGCUUGGGAGAUUUUCUUUUAGAGUUUCUUCUUCUUAUUAUUUUUAAUUGUGUAAUUCUUUCAAGAUGAUUUUCAUAAGAUUGUUGGUUUUAUUUUUCGUUAUGAACUAAUUCUUUUAUUAAGACUACAAAUUGAA